rnacentral:rRNA from 1 species
AACGAACGCUGGCGGCAUGCCUAACACAUGCAAGUCGAACGAGACCUUCGGGUCUAGUGGCGCACGGGUGCGUAACGCGUGGGAACCUGCCCUUAGGUUCGGAAUAACUCCCCGAAAGGGGUGCUAAUACCGGAUAAUGUCUUCGGACCAAAGAUUUAUCGCCUUUGGAUGGGCCCGCGUUGGAUUAGCUAGUUGGUAGGGUAAAAGCCUACCAAGGCGACGAUCCAUAGCUGGUCUGAGAGGAUGAUCAGCCACACUGGGACUGAGACACGGCCCAGACUCCUACGGGAGGCAGCAGCGGGGAAUAUUGGACAAUGGGCGAAAGCCUGAUCCAGCAAUGUCGCGUGAGUGAUGAAGGCCUUAGGGUUGUAAAGCUCUUUUACCCGGGAUGAUAAUGACAGUACCGGGAGAAUAAGCUCCGGCUAACUCCGUG